CUCGGAAGAGAUAGCUGCUAAUUUCAGCUCCAUCUGGGAUUACUGAUGAAUCAUGAAAAAAUGCUUUGUCCCGGAUCUGCAUUUGGAAGAGCUCCUCAUCUCUGGUAGGCAGCUUCUGUGUCCUUGAGCUGAGCGGCAGCAGCAGCAAAAGCAGAGCACAGUGAAGUAGGAGCAUCCUAGAGCAACAGAAGGGAUUCCCACCUCAGCAUCACUGAACAAGAUGCACAGCAGACACUGCCACCAACUUGACUCAUUCCGAAGCAGAGCUUGUUGGACAUGGUAACGAGUAAGCACGGAGCAGAUGGAGCAUACGUGGACUUCACUUCCCUUAGGAGAUUUUGGUUGGGCUUCCAACAAUCCUUUUGAAAAGUAGACAGCGUCACCAUAGAGGAUCCCAUGCCCUCCGAAAGCAGGCAGCAAAUGGGUUGGGAAGCUCUGCAGUGAGCUGAGUAACCUAUACGUUAUGCUCAACCACUCUGUUUCUCAGGAAAGCCAUGAACGCAUUGUGGCUACUGUAAGUCAUUUUUCAGUUGGCGUCAGCUACACCCUUAUUUAUUCAGUGAAAACCUC